rnacentral:rRNA from 1 species
UAGUUAGUUGGUAGGGUAAAGGCUUACCAAGGCUACGAUCAGUAGCUGGUCUGAGAGGACGACCAGCCACACUGGAAUUGAGACACGGUCCAGACUCCUACGGGAGGCAGCAGUGGGGAAUUUUGGACAAUGGGCGCAAGCCUGAUCCAGCAAUGCCGCGUGAGUGAAGAAGGCCUUCGGGUUGUAAAGCUCUUUUGUCAGGGAAGAAACGGUGGGAGCUAAUAUCUCUCACUAAUGACGGUACCUGAAGAAUAAGCACCGGCUAACUACGUGCCAGCAGCCGCGGUAAUACGUAGGGUGCAAGCGUUAAUCGGAAUUACUGGGCGUAAAGCGUGCGCAGGCGGUUUUGUAAGUCUGUCGUGAAAGCCCCGGGCUCAACCUGGGAAUUGCGAUGGAGACUGCAAGGCUUGAAUCUGGCAGAGGGGGGUAGAAUUCCACGUGUAGCAGUGAAAUGCGUAGAGAUGUGGAGGAACACCGAUGGCGAAGGCAGCCCCCUGGGUCAAGAUUGACGCUCAUGCACGAAAGCGUGGGGAGCAAACAGGAUUAGAUACCCUGGUAGUCCACGCCCUAAACGAUGUCUACUAGUUGUCGGGUUUUAAUUAACUUGGUAACGCAGCUAACGCGUGAAGUAGACCGCCUGGGGAGUACGGUCGCAAGAUUAAAACUCAAAGGAAUUGACGGGGACCCGCACAAGCGGUGGAUGAUGUGGAUUAAUUCGAUGCAACGCGAAAAACCUUACCUACCCUUGACAUGUACGGAAGCCACGAGAGAUCGAGGUGUGCUCGAAAGAGAACCGUAACACAGGUGCUGCAUGGCUGUCGUCAGCUCGUGUCGUGAGAUGUUGGGUUAAGUCCCGCAACGAGCGCAACCCUUGUCAUUAGUUGCUACAUUUAGUUGAGCACUCUAAUGAGACUGCCGGUGACAAACCGGAGGAAGGUGGGGAUGACGUCAAGUCCUCAUGGCCCUUAUGGGUAGGGCUUCACACGUCAUACAAUGGUACAUACAGAGGGCCGCCAACCCGCGAGGGGGAGCUAAUCCCAGAAAGUGUAUCGUAGUCCGGAUCGCAGUCUGCAACUCGACUGCGUGAAGUGGAAUCGCUAGUAAUCGCGGAU